rnacentral:lncRNA from 1 species
UAAGAGGGGAGAGUGCCUAUGUGCACUGCUCUCAAAGUGUGGUUGUUACAUAGAAAAGCGGAGAAAAAGUAGAAGGUAAUUUGGAUUUUGACCUUCAAAAGGUCUAAACAAAAGCUAAAUAAGCACUGGCCUAGAAAUCAGCGAUAUCAAAACAAUUACAACUCAUCCAGCUCUCAGAUGCUUUGAGAAAUUCAGAGGAUAUAUGACAAUAACUGUAAACUAGUGGAGAAGAAAUAGAAAAAAAGAAGGGUACACAGACAAGAUUUGAACAUGGAUAGUUAUUGCUCCGAUCUUCGAUAAAACCAUUUGAAAAUGGACAGAGUGUAAAAUAAACCUGAAAUCAUGAAGUAAAACCUGUUUGGACUAAGUUUACAAUUAAUUAGCUAAAAGUAUGUUGUUGCUCCUAAAUAGAAAAAAGUUUGCGUUAGGAAAGUUCAAUUAAAAAAAUAGAGGACAUCUCUAUAUCUCCCUCAUAUUUGUGGAUUUUGCAAUUUGUAUGCACUGUAGUAUUCCAUAUUUUCCUCAUCUUGCUUGAUGUAUUCUUAUCAUUACUGUACAUGAGUUGAGAGCACAGCAGAGUCAGAUUGCCUGAGUUUAAAUCCUGGCUUGACACCUUAUUAGCUGUGUGACCCAAGGCAGAGAAACUUGGUCUUUCUAUGGCUCAGCUUACUCAUCUGUAAAAUGGAGAUAUUUAGAUUACCUACCUAACAAGUAUAUUAUAAAGAUGUAAACUAAAAACAAAAUCAUAAGCUUCUCCACUUAACAGAGAGGGCAGCCCCAGAAAACAAUAAACUGAAUUUCUGACCAUGUUGGAAUGGGAGGUCAGACAUGCCUCAUUAUCCCCCCUCCCUUUUGUGGUUUAGACACAACAACACAGCACCAUUAAUGUUAAAAUAGAUAUUAUGAGAGACAAAGAAGAUUAUUCGUGGCAAUAAGAUACCAAAUUAUAAACAAGACCUAAGACCAUGCCCAGGAAGGAAGUGUUAAACCACACACCCCUACACUUAAAGAAUAAACUAUGUUCUAACUGCUACAAGGUUUCUCCUUUUCUCUAGCAGCUAAACAAGCAUUGGCAUAGAGAUAAGCAAUAUUAAAACAAUUACAACUCAUCCAGCUCAGGGAAACUGAUUAACUGACUCUGUGUUCCAACAGCCAUAACUAGAGCUUUGAUUGGACAAGAGACUGAUUUCAGUAACUUUGUCCUGAACAGACCACGUUGUCCCAUAGAAGUGAUGUUUAUGGUUUCUUUUGAAUAAACAUAGAAAUUGACCCUCCCACUCUUAAAAUUUGAAAAAAUUACAGUUGUCUUAACUGAGUUCCUUUCUCAGGAUACCAACCAUCAGUCUUCCCAGAUGGUAUCAAGAUCACAGCAUUUGGUCAAUGAGGAGCCAGACCCCUCACCUGUCACGGUUGCCUGACUGUUCACCUGCUUCCUGUUGACCAACUCCUCUUCCUUUUUCUUCCCUAAUUUCUGUUUUUCUGCAUGUAGUUACAUUUCUUUCCUG